rnacentral:rRNA from 1 species
AUGAACGCUGGCGGCGUGGAUAAGGCAUGCAAGUCGAAAGGGUUUAGACCCUUGGCGAACGAGGUAGUAACACGUCGGAACGCACCCCCAAGUCAGGCAUAACUCGUCGAAAGGCGAGACAAUUCCUGAUAGUCCCUGAGGCCGCAAGGCCGAAGGGUAAAGAUUUAUCGCUUGGGGAGCGGCCGGCGGCGUAUCAGCUAGUUGGUAAGGUAAUGGCUUACCAAGGCUAUGACGCGUAGGGGAGGUGAGAGCCUGACCCCCACCGAUGGGACUGAGACACGGCCCAUACACCUACGGGUGGCUGCAGUCGAGAAUCUUCCGCAAUGGACGAAAGUCUGACGGAGCGACGCCGCGUGAUGGAUGAAGCCCCUCGGGGCGUAAACAUCUUUUAUGAGGGAGGAAGUAAUUGACGUUACCUCAUGAAUAAGGGGUUGCUAAACUCGU